CCGGCCAAGAGAAAGCAGCUCACCUGCAGAUCACAGUGGAGGAGAUAGCAGCGCUUGUUGCAAGAGCUCGAUCUGCAGAGCUCCUCAUCAUCCUCCCACCUCAGGAGCAGAUCGAGGAAGCUCCACAUCGACCACCCCGUGCCGCGCCAUGGCAGCAGGGUGGAAUAGCUCGACGGCACAGCUUUAUUAACGGAGAUGCUUGCGCCCAGCUCCUCGUCAGACGAUGGCGCACCGCAGUGCACGCCGGCGACGAGAAGCAGCCACAAGACGCACCAGAUCUGGCCGGGAAGAUCCGGAGCUCUACUCCCACACGCCAUAAAGGACAAACCUCUACUAGACCUAGCCCUACUAUAAACACUACUAGCUGCAGCGCCUCGCCUCCACCACUCUCCGACGGCAAAGCCGCCGAGGACAACGCCUCAUAGUCAUUCCGUGUUUGACGGAAGCGAAGCAGUUCCAUUCCAUAUCUCCUCCAUUUUCUCCCAAAACGUCCUUUGCGUGACGUGAGGACUCCGCUGCCCCUGCUCGGCACACACUACCGCGCCAACCGUGCCCUCUGCCAAGCCCGUCCACGCUCGGAGAGCCGCCACUGGAUCCGUUGCGGGGCUAGCCGGGGACUCUGGAUCCGUCGACGUCGCUGACCCACUGUGGUGCUCGCCGGUUUCCUUGCGCCCAGGAAUGGCCGACCAUCGACCACGCGUUCCUGGAUUGGGGAGGCCUCCUCCAGGUGCAAGCCGCAAGGAUGGUGGCCGCCUUUGCGGGACUAGCCGGGAACUCUGGAUCCGUUGCCGCCGCUGACCCGCUGUGGUGCUCGCUGGUUCCUUGCGCCCAGGAAGGGCCGACCAGCGCCCACGCGUGCCUGGAUUGGGGAGGUCCCCUCCAGGCGCGAGACGCAAGGAUGGCGGCCGCCGAGCUAUGUUCAUCCGCGCGGUUCAGCGAUGAUGAACAGGUCAAUCGCAACAGCUUUGAUCUAGGUCGCCGGCAACCACCUGCUCCAUCCUCGAGAUCUCCGAUUCAGGGAAAGGCUCAAGAGUUCAUUGCAAUCGUGCAAUCCACGGCUGCACUACUGAGCCAUUACUCAUGUGCCAUGUCCCUCACACGGCCUGUUUUAUUAAAUUUUCUCAUGUUGCCUGUGGGUCUUCGUAGCUCAACAUUGUGUGUACCAAGCGCCUCUCUUCUCUGAACCUGCUACAAGGCCCCGGUAACUCCGAACAAACAACAGGACUCGCACCACACAUGCACGCUUGUCUUUCUUGAUCUAAUUCUUUGCUCCAAAUUUGUCAUACAUCAUUUAACUAUAUAUUAGCCUAGAUUAUUUUAAUUUUCAGUCUAAUUCAGUGCACAAUGACUAAUAUUAUGCACUAAUUAUUACAAAGCUUUGUCUGCACUAAAUUAGACAUAGUUUCUGAAUCUAGAAGUCACAGAUUAAAUCCGUACAACAAUCCUGAUAUCUUGAUGGGAAGCAAGCGAUAAAUGAGUUAAGUAUUUUCGUCCAGUUUAAUUACCAUCUCAGUUGAGAUGCAUAUGAUUUGGUUGAUGCAAGAUCCACCUAGACAGGUACUCCUCAAGUGAGGCUGGGGCUAUGCUCCUUGAUCGAAAAAAAAGUGAGGCCCUUCUGUUCUUGCUAAUGGCCACAAUUUCGAUUUUCAUUGUGUUGUUGGUGAUUGUUCUUUUGGUUAUCCUACGAAGAUUGUCCCUGGAUGUAUCGUUAGGUGAGCUGCUAAUGUUUCUCCUGUUGUCUCUUCUCCAGUGAUUUGCCUGCGAACCUCCAUCUCAGGUCACGGUCGACCACCAGAAGCUACGAAACAGCAGAGAAGGUCAUCCCUUCUCCUCCAUGAUCCCCUCCUAUAUAUUCGGGCGCCAUCAACCUCCUCCACUCCAGAUGCCAACCCUUCCCUCCUGUUGGUUCGGUAUAAUAUGUGUUUUAAGUGAUUCCACACCAGUUAGAGGGACUUAAAUAGUUAAACAUACUAUAAAAUCUGGGUUGUUAGCUUCAUAAACUUGGAUUGAGCAUGUAGAUGUUAUUUACAAUCUUUUAGAGGUUACACGGAGAUCUGAUAAUUAAAUUAUGUGGACGGUAGCCAUGCACUUCUCUAUAUCCUUUAGUGUGUGAUGGUUUGCUUUUGUCUCACUUGGUAUUCUUUAUACAUGUUCAUCAGUUGUCCACAUCAAUCCAGAUACAUUGAAGAAUUGUAAAUGAAUCUAAUUAGUGGUGUAUAAUUUAUUAUCAGGCGCAUGGAGAGGUGUAGAGUGUUCUUGUGCACACAUGUUAGCUUUCUGAAAUACAUUAUCCCUGUUCAUCUAUCUCACUUUUGUCUGUCUAUAUUACUGAAACAUUGCAGGAAGUUACAAUAUCAAUUUCGUAACUCGAUCGCAAGCAACAUUGAAGAUAAAGCUGAUGCCAGUAAGAUUUACAAUAUUGAUGUUGUCUGUGCAUAUUUCUAAUGUAGUCAAGGUAUGUCAAAAACUAUUUCUUUUUAAAAUUUUGCAUUUACUUAGCAAGGUUACUUUACUACCUUGGGUAUUUCACUUGCAUCGCUUCGGGAAUGAAUUGUGUUUUGUGCCGGAGUCUACUAAAUAACAUGAACUUUCUGUGUCUGCAACACUGAUACAGUAUGAUAAAAGCAAACCAUCUGCAUUAAAGUUUGAUAUCUUAAGUUAUUUAUGUAUGAUCUGAAGUCCAUUAAAAAUGCCAAAACUAUUUUUCUAACCGAGAGUAAAUUUUGGGGAGAGUAAUAUGCAGUAUCUUCUGUCCAUGCCAGCAUGCAGUAUUGGAACUAUUGCCAGCCUCUUAGGAGAAAGAGCAUAUUCAGCCAAAUGGUCAAUGCAAGUUCAGUCAAAUGGUCAAUGCAUCAUUAUAUUUGGAAUUUUUGUCCCAUCUAUGAAGUUUUGAUUUAAGAUUGAUUUUUAAUACAGUUACCAUGUGCUUGUAAAUAUUUAGUGAGGAAUUUUGCAGCUGAAAUGGUACCUGCAUAUUGCUAAUUGAUAUGCUUAAAGUUAGCAAGCUUGAAUAGACUCAGCGUUAUUCCUGCACUCUGGCUCAAAUAAUUUUCUUUACUCUGGCUAAUCGAAUAAUUGAUAUUUGGGAAUAACUUCUGCUAUAAUUGUCUCCUUUCGGUUGGUUUCUUUACUCUGGCUAAUCAAAUAAUUUUGUUUCACUACAUAUUACCUUUUUGAGAACUGCACAUUUUUUCUUUAUUAGAUUUAGUUCUAUACGAUUUAUCAUAUUCACAGCUGACAAGUUCCAUUAUUGUUUUACUGGGUUGUUUUGAAGAUAAGGUGGGAAGAUUGGAGAUGUAUCCAAAUUCUGAAGUGGUGUAAUGAGGUCCAAAUAUCUGCCUGUCACAGCAAAUUAAAAUAAUGCAUCAAACCUAUUUGGUACCCUCCUGUAAUUUAAACAUUCAAGGGAAAUCUCUGCUCCGUGUAACAAGCAUAAGUAGGAUCAUAAGUUAUACCAAUUCAUGGCUCAGACAUGGAGCUCAGAAGGUUUUAGUGUUAUAUAUACCAAUAAAGCCAACUUUAUAAAGUUGUCAAUGAAUUUGGGAGUUGUAGCUAAUUCUGGCAGCUUUGUAGAAUCCUACCUGAGAUUCUUCUAGGCAGAUAUUGUUGGCUAUUUCCAUUGGAUUUUUCUUUGUGUUAUUAUUUAUGGUAAGGAGACGCAUCUGGUGUGAUUAGAUGUAUGAGCAUUUGGGACGCAACUAAUGCCAGAUCGACAAUGUGUACUGAGCUCA